GACGAACGCUGGCGGCGUGCCUAAUACAUGCAAGUAGAACGCACAGUUUAUACCGUAGCUUGCUACACCAUAGACUGUGAGUUGCGAACGGGUGAGUAACGCGUAGCUAACCUGCCUGGUAGCGGGGGAUAACUAUUGGAAACGAUAGCUAAUACCGCAUAAUAUUGAUUAUUGCAUGAUAAUUGAUUGAAAGAUGCUAUUGCAUCACUACCAGAUGGACCUGCGUUGUAUUAGCUAGUAGGUGAGGUAACGGCUCACCUAGGCGACGAUACAUAGCCGACCUGAGAGGGUGAUCGGCCACACUGGGACUGAGACACGGCCCAGACUCCUACGGGAGGCAGCAGUAGGGAAUCUUCGGCAAUGGACGAAAGUCUGACCGAGCAACGCCGCGGGAGUGAAGAAGGUUUUCGGAUCGUAAAGCUCUGUUGUAAGAGAAGAACGGGUGUGAGAGUGGAAAGUUCACACUGUGACGGUAUCUUACCAGAAAGGGGCGGCUAACUACGUG
rnacentral:rRNA from 1 species